CCUACGGGAGGCAGCAGUGGGGAAUAUUGGACAAUGGGGGGAACCCUGAUCCAGCCAUGCCGCGUGUGUGAAGAAGGCCCUCGGGUUGUAAAGCACUUUCAGUGAGGAAGAACGCCUGGUGGUUAAUACCCAUCAGGAAAGACAUCACUCACAGAAGAAGCACCGGCUAACUCCGUGCCAGCAGCCGCGGUAAUACGGAGGGUGCGAGCGUUAAUCGGAAUUACUGGGCGUAAAGCGCGCGUAGGUGGCUUGAUAAGCCGGUUGUGAAAGCCCCGGGCUCAACCUGGGAACGGCAUCCGGAACUGUCAAGCUAGAGUGCAGGAGAGGAAGGUAGAAUUCCCGGUGUAGCGGUGAAAUGCGUAGAGAUCAGGAGGAAUACCAGUGGCGAAGGCGGCCUUCUGGACUGACACUGACACUGAGGUGCGAAAGCGUGGGUAGCAAACAGGAUUAGAUACCCGAGUAGUC
rnacentral:rRNA from 1 species